rnacentral:rRNA from 1 species
AAUGAACGCUGGCGGCGUGCUUAACACAUGCAAGUCGAGCGAGAAAGUUGCUUCGGCAAUGAGUACAGCGGCGAACGGUUGAGUAACACGUGAGAAUCUACCCUUUAGUGAAGAAUACCCUCGAGAAAUCGAGGUUAAUACUGCAUACGUCCCUUCGGGGAGAAAGGCGGCCUAAUUUGCUGUCGCUAAAGGAUGAGCUUGCGGACUAUCAGCUAGUUGGUGGGGUAAAGGCCUACCAAGGCUAUGACGGUUAGCCGGCCCGAGAGGGUGACCGGCCAGACUGGAACUUAGACACGGUCCAGACUCCUACGGGAGGCAGCAGUGAGGAAUCUUGCGCAAUGGGCGAAAGCCUGACGCAGCGACGCCGCGUGGAGGAUGAAGGUCUUCGGAUUGUAAACUCCUGUUAAGUGGGAAGAAAUCCUCAUUUCUAAUACAGAUGAGGGAUGACGGUACCAUUAGAGAAAGCACUGGCUAACCUCGUGCCAGCAGCCGCGGUAA